UGGGGGAUAUUGGACAAUGGGGGAAACCCUGAUCCAGCGACGCCGCGUGAGUGAAGAAGUAUUUCGGUAUGUAAAGCUCUAUCAGCAGGGAAGAAAAAUAACCAAAUUGACAGUACCUGACUAAGAAGCCCCGGCUAACUACGUGCCAGCAGCCGCGGUAAUACGUAGGGGGCAAGCGUUAUCCGGAUUUACUGGGUGUAAAGGGAGCGUAGGCGGCGGAGCAAGUCAGAUGUGAAAGCCCGGGGCUCAACCCCGGGACUGCAUUUGAAACUGUUCUGCUAGAGUAUCGGAGAGGUAAGUGGAAUUCCUAGUGUAGCGGUGAAAUGCGUAGAUAUUAGGAGGAACACCAGUGGCGAAGGCGGCUUACUGGACGAUAACUGACGCUGAGGCUCGAAAGCGUGGGGAGCAAACAGG
rnacentral:rRNA from 1 species